AAUGAACGCUGGCGGCGUGGAUUAGGCAUGCAAGUCGCACGGGCAUUAGCAAUAGUGUCAGUGGCGAACGGGUUAGUACAAGUUGGGUGACCUUCCCGGAAGUGGGGGACAACCCCGAGAAGUCGGGGCUAAUACCGCAUAUGGACUCAGGGCUGCGGCCUUGCGUCUAAAGCAGUGAUGCGCUUCCGGAUGGGCCCGACCC
rnacentral:rRNA from 1 species